CCUACGGGUGGCAGCAGUGAGGAAUAUUGGUCAAUGGACGAGAGUCUGAACCAGCCAAGUAGCGUGAAGGAUGACUGCCCUAUGGGUUGUAAACUUCUUUUAUAUGGGAAUAAAAUGUUCCACGUGUGGGAUUUUGUAUGUACCAUAUGAAUAAGGAUCGGCUAACUCCGUGCCAGCAGCCGCGGUAAUACGGAGGAUCCGAGCGUUAUCCGGAUUUAUUGGGUUUAAAGGGAGCGUAGGUGGAUUGUUAAGUCAGUUGUGAAAGUUUGCGGCUCAACCGUAAAAUUGCAGUUGAAACUGGCAGUCUUGAGUACAGUAGAGGUGGGCGGAAUUCGUGGUGUAGCGGUGAAAUGCUUAGAUAUCACGAAGAACUCCGAUUGUGAAGGCAGUUCACUGGACUGCAACUGACACUGAGGCUCGAAAGUGUGGGUAUCAAACAGGAUUAGAUACCCUUGUAGUC
rnacentral:rRNA from 1 species